CUAAAUAAAGGCAAUAAAAUUGGAAUCGCUUUAGCCAAUUUACAAAACUAGAUUGAACAACCUGUGGUUGCCCCAAUUAUAGCUGUCGAUAACCUUAAACAUGCUAUGACAACCUCAACGACAAUGACCUGAGGCUAUAGUACACAACAGUUCUAGCAACAACAACUAAUGGAAGCUUUAGUGCGCGAAAGUUGUGUGGUUGGAGGCUAUAGCACAUGGUAACUGUCUCAAUGGCCCAAAAACUAACCCAAAAGAAGUCUUCAAGCACUUUUAAUUUUGCGAACUCAUUGAGCCAGAAUUUGAAAAAUAGUAUAGAGUUUAAAGUGUAGUAUACAAUCGAUUAUUACAACACAAUGCGGAAAAUAUAAAUUCUGUAAGUGUAAAACCGAACCAAACGAUCCGAAACUUCUUUAACACCUCCAAUGGAGUCUCAUAUGAUGUUGAGCUUAGACUUGUGCCGCACUGGAUCAUACAUCGUCUUCCACAGGAAUGACAAUGGAUAUACUGAGAAAAUAUCCACCGGAAGCCACCAAGAAUUUCGUCGGAGAUGUAGAAUGCUCCCACUUGGUUAUCUCUAUAUUCUUUCUCUCCAAUGU
rnacentral:lncRNA from 1 species